rnacentral:rRNA from 1 species
UACGAAGGGGGCUAGCGUUGCUCGGAAUCACUGGGCGUAAAGGGUGCGUAGGCGGGUUCUUAAGUCAGAGGUGAAAUCCUGGAGCUCAACUCCAGAACUGCCUUUGAUACUGAGAGUCUUGAGUAUGACAGAGGUGAGUGGAACUGCGAGUGUAGAGGUGAAAUUCGUAGAUAUUCGCAAGAACACCGGUGGCGAAGGCGGCCAUCUGGACGGAUACUGACGCUGAGACGCGAAAGCAUGGGGAGCAAACAGG